ACGCUGCUAUAUUGGGUAAAGUUGAUAAUCCAAACCCACUCUCUCUCCCUCUCUCUCUCUCUCUCGUCUCUCUGUGUGAACCCUAAAAACCUCCUCCCCUCACCUUCAGAUUCCGAUUUAGUUCCUGGGGAUUUAGCUUCACGCCCAAAAAUAUGCCAAUCCUUAUACAUAGUCACAACCAUAGCCAUAGCAGAUUGUUCACUUGGUUUUCUCGAUACUUAUUGGGUUCAAUGGAGGAGAGAAGAAAAGCAGAUCUCAUUCUGUAUUUUUAUCGGUUAGAUCCUUAAGGCCUUAGGGUAUCUGGGUCAUUAUGUAGCCACAAAUACCUGAAGGUUUUACUGAGACCCGAAUUCAGAUGGAAUGGAUAACAGAGAUCAAGUGAAGCCAAGGAAGAUGGAUCUCCUCCUUCCUUCACAUCCUCCGGCGCCUCCAAGUUAGCAUUCGACCCGGCCCAAUUUCACAGUGAUUCAUAUCCUGGCUGACUGGGCCGAAUGCCGUAUUGGUAUAUCCUGGGCUGGGCUCGGCCUGGCCCGAUUCCGAUUUGUUCAUAAAUUUACCCUUGUUUCUUACAGUUUGUUACGAACUUCACCAUUCUUCUUCCUUUAAAACCCGACGAGCGGAGGCACUCUCGGCACUCCCAUUUUUAUCUUACUGCUUGUAAUCUUUGCAUACCCUCAUCUCCUAUCCUCAUCCAUGGCCAACAACAACCCCUUUCAUUCCCAACCCAUACGGAGAUAAUCCUCCAUAUGUUCCAAAUCAGAACUAUGUUGACCCAAACGAUCCGAACCCACCUGUCAUACUGAAUUCCAAUGGUAAUUUUUCCCGGGUAAUUGAAAACCCUUAUUACAAUGCCCGAUUCCGAUUUGUUUAUAAAUUUACCCUUGUUUCUUACAGUUUUUUACUAACUUCACCAUUCUUCUUCCUUUAAAACCCGACGAGCGGAGGCACUCUCGGCACUCCCAUCUUUUAUCUUACUGCUUGUAAUCUUUGCAUACCUUCAUUUCCUAUCCUCAUCCAUGGCGAACAACAAUCCCCCCUUCAUUCCCAACCCAUACGGAGAUUAUCCUCCCUAUGUUCCAAAUCAAAACUAUAUCGUUGACCCAAAGAUCCGAACCCACCUGUCAUACUGAAUCCCAAUGGUAAUUUUCCCCGGGUAAUUGAAAACCCAUAUUACAAUGCUAAUCCCGAGCAGAUUCAGCCUGCACACUUUGAGCCCCGUGAGAGAGAGAGGAGGCUCAUGGGAAGGGAACCGAUGAAGGGGGGCAAAUCGUGUUUCGAAGCCCCUAACAAGCCCAGAAACACCCCUCGGGGAAGCGGAAAGUGCUCUGAUGAUGAGUGGAGGAAGCGCUCGGAUCCUCGUUAUAGAUGAGGUGUCGAGAUGCCUUGGAGGGUGGUGGUUACGGUUCUGGUGUGGCUGGGGGGCUUGUGGAGUGGCCGGGUGGUGGCGGUUUAGAUCCCAUGGUGGUGUCUGUUUUAAUCUCUUGGUGGUGUCUUUUAAUCGUUCUUAAUUUCUGUUGUGUAUUUUGUUGUAAUGUAUUGUUGGGAAUGUGGGAUCUAUAUAAUAAAAUUUCAUGUUGGGCUUGUGGAGUGGCCGGGUGGUGGCGGUUUAGAUCCCGUGGUGGUGUCUGUUUUAAUCUCUUGGUGGUGUCUUUUAAUCGUUCUUAAUUUCUGUUGUUGUGUAUUUUGUUGUAAUGUAUUGUUGGAAAUGUGGGAUCUAUAUAAUAAAAUUUCAUGUUGUUGUAA